GGAGUUAGCCGGUGCUUCUUCUGUGAGUGAUGUCCUUCCUGCCGGCUAUUAACCCGCAGGCCUUCUUCCUCACUGAAAGUGCUUUACAACCCGAAGGCCUUCUUCACACACGCGGCAUGGCUGGAUCAGGGUUGCCCCCAUUGUCCAAUAUUCCCCACUGCUGCCUCCCGUAGGAGUCUGGGCCGUGUCUCAGUCCCAGUGUGGCUGAUCAUCCUCUCAGACCAGCUACGGAUCGUCGCCUUGGUGAGCCGUUACCUCACCAACCAGCUAAUCCGACAUAGGCUCAUCCGAUAGCGCGAGGCCCGAAGGUCCCCCGCUUUCCCCCGUAGGGCGUAUGCGGUAUUAGCCUGGGUUUCCCCCAGGGUUUAUCCCCCCACUUACCCGGGGCCAGGAUUCCCUAUGCAUUACUCACCCGUCCGCCGCUCGCCACCAGGGAGCAAGCUCCCCGUGCUGCCGCUCGACUUGCAUGUGUAGCUCGCCGCAGCGUCAUCUGAGCCAGAACUACGAACCCUACGA
rnacentral:rRNA from 1 species